GGUGGAGUGUCCGAGUGGUCUAAGGAGCUAGAUUUAGGCCGUAAGGCAUCAGUCUCUAGUGGGCAACCGCGCGAGUUCGAAUCUCGUCUCCAUCA